AUGAGUCCAUAUGAAUUGUUUGCUACUACCUUGCAUUGCAUGAUGCCAUCUGUUAAACUAGAUUUGAAAAAGUAUUUGCUUGGAUAUGAUCAUAUAUACCUUGUUAGUGGAAUUACUCACAUUAGGGAUGAUCAUAGUUACUUUCAUCGUGCUAGACCUAUGCUUAAUGAAACAUAUCAUUCUCAUACUAGUCUUGAGCUUAAUGAUAAAUGUCAUCCUCAUGUUAGUGUUGACCUUAUUGAUUUCUAUCACCCUAAACAUGUGCUUUAUAGCUAUGCUUAUGUAAUUGGCCACUCGAUUGAUGACUUGGAGGGUAUUAUCCCUACCACUCGCAUUGUCUCUUUUGUUGAGUGCCUUUUUAGGUUUUUGCUUCUGCACUGUUCACUUCAUGCUGACCAGGUUCGAGGUGACAUUCCUUGGGACCCUGGUGGACUCAGAGCACGGCGAAGAGGAGAAGCAAUGGGGCACACAUAUGGAAGAGAGAAGCUGGAGAAGGCAUGA
rnacentral:rRNA from 1 species